AACAUGGCAGUUGGAUCUGAUGGCGUCCAGGUAGGUGAGCUGGUGAGGAAAAGGUGCGAGUCUUAAACGGGGAUUGGUGUGGGUAGCUUGUCAGUUCUGCAGCCUCUCAGCAGGUGCCUUUCUGCUUGGAUUUUUGCAGGUGCCGCAAUCAGCCUUCAGAGGGGAGACGACGCAUGGCUACGAGGGGUCUCAGAAGAUGGUGUGCGGCUGCCCUUGGGACUGGAUGUGCGUUUGAGGGGCCACAAGGGAGGACAACAGUGUGAGUUGGGCACGGCCACAGAGCAAGUGAGCAGAGCAGCUGGGCGCAUCUGAGGUAGACGGAUGCAGCGGCCUAGGUCUUUGUAGAGCGAUGGGAUGCUGACUGACAGGGCUGUUGUGUGGGGCUUGUGAUUGUUUUUGUUUUUCAGAUGACGAAGAGGCAGCUGGUGACUGGAGGAGUGACGUGUGCUUGUCCUUCAGAAGGAAGGGAAGAGGGAGACUCUCGGCCCCUUGAAAGCUAAGUUGAGGCAACGGUGCUGGGGAAGGGGUUGGGGGAGCGAGGGGGGCACGGUUGGCUGUGGCAGGAAGGGGUUUGAAAGAGAGCGUAGGGGAGAGGGUUGUCUAGGAAGCGGUCCCCUUUGAGCAGGGGAAUGGAGCGGGUUCCUCUGAAAUAUGACAGGAACGUGUGCCCUGGGCAGGGCGGUUCCAGGCUGUGCAUGUUGUUGUGUAGUGCGUCUGUGUGUUUGGUGUUGGGUGCGUUUGACCUUCCUCGGGUCUCGGUUGUUCGUUCUUCCGUAGGAUCGAGGCAGGUGCCUCGGCAGCGUUAGUAGGGCCCGGCGAGGCCCUAGU